CCUGAGGGAGGAACCGGAGCGGGCGGGGCUGAGGUCCGGGAAGCAGAGGCGGGGCAGACGGCAGCUGUGGUGUUUCCGAGCUGCUUCCGAGGAGUUCCCUUCAGUUCCACUUCCAGUUGUUUCUCUGCCAUUAAAUUCUUUCCAGGCGAGAUAAGGGGCCCGCCCGCCCCACCGGGGUGUGUCACGUGUGUCUGCGUGGUGGGGGGGAGGUCAGACGGACAGAAGCAGGGGGAGCCUGGAUGGGGACGGAGUCAAGUCGGAGCCCUGUGCCUUCCUGGGACGUCUCCCAGCCACGCUAGCCCUGCUGAACCGUCUCGGUGGAACUUGUGCCUUCUACAUGUCUGCAUCUCAUCAGGAGAGCACCGAGCCUGCGCCGUGCAGCUCCGGGAAAGGAAGGGAUUGAAGACAGCAGACACACAAGUGAAGUGGCUCCCGGAAGGGCUCUGCGGGGAGAAGGCUGUAGAAGCUGACUGCCGGAGACCUGCUCUGCAUCGAGUUAUAGUGUGGUCUCAGAAGAAAUUAACACAAGACGGCUGUGUGGGGGUUCUAGAGGAGGUGGACGGAAGAGAGCACAGCACCAGCAGGCAAGGGAGACAUGGGCGAGAGGGUCACAGGAAAGCUUGGACCUGAAUGGACCCCGCAGAACUCCCUGUCUAGAGACAUGGGUGUGGGGCAAAGGGAGGGGGAGGACAUUGCUAUCUCGUGACAAAAGAAAGUCACACAAUUGUUUUCCUCUGCGCUCUGGGCCGGGUGGGCGCCUGUAUUUACCAGAGGGACUGAGGUCGCUGUGGCAACCACACAUCUGGGCCCCGGAAUCCAGAUGUGCUGCAUCCAGAAGCCAUAGCAGAACGAUGAGGCAAACAUCAUGCUCCCCAGCACCGGCCCCCGCAGCUGGGACGAGGACAGGGGAUUGGCGUGGGGAAGUGAAGGGAGCAGGGGGAGGAAGGAGGAGAAGACGGGCUGGGGAGCAGAGGGGAAGCGAUGGAGGGACCAGGAUGUGGACAGAGCAGUGGGAAGGAAACAGAGGGGUGGCCAGAACCAGGGAGGAAGAGCAGGAAGCAAUGAGAAGACCCAGACAGGGACAGGGAGGGAAACAGGCAAGAAGAAACCGACCCAGAACAAAGCUCCAGGCACACAGCUGUGAUCAGCUGUGGGGGUGAUGGUAGAGUGUGAGGAAAGGAGUCGGGAGGGACGACGGGGCAGGGAAGACGGAGCCCAAAAGGCAGGGAUCCCCAGGGUCCCUCAGGACAGGGAGGGGUCGCUGAGGUGACCCUGGGUGGGGUGUGGCCAGAGGAAUGGAGAGCCACACAGGCCUGGGGGUGGCAGCCCAGGGCCUGCCUUCAUUCCCUGCAGAAGACCUGUCUCCACAUCUCUCUCAACACUUGCUACCAAUCUGCUCCCUUGAUCGGAAGGUCUGACCCCAGCUUCACACAAGAGUGCCGGCUGUCUGUCUCUGGCCAGUCCCCGAGGUACAGAGAGCCCCUGGGGUGGGAGGCAGGCACUUCUAGCACUUUCCCCGAGUGGGAAGUGUCCAGACGGACACAGAGCAAUGGGAAAAUGAACAGUGACGGACCCAGAUGGGAUGAAGGUGGAACAGAUGGAAACGGACAGUGUAAAUGGCAGGGAAAGUGAGGGCUGAGGAAAGGGGUCUACUGUGCCCCGGCGCUGCAGCCGCCACCUCUCAGCCUACGUCACCGAGGAAGCUGGGGGAGCAUCCCACUUCACAGGCGAGGGAACGAAGGCUCGGAUGUUUCAGGAUACCCACUAACAGAAGGCAAGGCAGGGCAGCCAGCUCAGGUGAACUGUUCCCCAAGCCCUAGUUCUCACUGCACGUACUACCCGGAGAGUGCUGGCUACGGUUCGUGGGGCCCUGGGACAGGAAGCCUGGCUGAGGAGCCAGGGCUGCCCUCUGGAGGGAGGAGAGGUCUAGUUCCUGGGAGCCCCAGUUCCAGGUUGCCAUGGCCACCGGGUCUGUUUUCACCCCAAACACAGUAAAGGCCGGCUGGGGGGUUGUGGGGAGAGUCUGGCCGGCCACGUGAGGUUCCUUCUCCCUUCUUCAGGCCUGGGCUUAUGGCCCGGGCAGCCCCUGUCCAGUCAUCCGGGCGUGGAGCCCAGGCCCGGCUCACACCCUCCAGCUGACCCAGGCCGCUCCUGCAGGGUCAGGCCUGAGGCACCGCUGGACGGGGUUCCCUCCAGGUUGGGCUGAGCCUCAGUCUCUCACUUCGCCCGGCUGCCUUUCCUCUGAAUGAAAACGCACGCCUGUUCUGCCUGAGUGGAUUCUCGGGGCUCAGUCUCCUCCAUUUUAGGGAGAAGAGGAUGUCUUGAAACACCCUCUCCCUCCCUCCCGAAUACCACCCCUUCCCCACUGCGGCCCCUCCUGCAGGGCUGCGAGCCAGCUGGCCCCAGCGCUCCUUGUUUGUGUGAGCUUCUCAUCCUGGAAAGCAAGGGAGAGAGGGAGGGAGAAGCUGCGGGGGAGCGGGGACGCAGGCAGGCCGCGCCCCCUGGCGGGCGUGGGGCUCCCCUGCCUUCCUGUUUACUGAGAUCUGUCGUCUUGCUGUCUCGCGUGGGGCAGCCCUGCUACACACAGACGUACCCUGGGGCGGCAGGGUGGGGCCGGGGGA